UCGUGAGAUGUUGGGCUAAGUCCCGCAACGAGCGCAACCCUUAUUGUUAGUUGCCAUCAUUCAGUUGGGCACUCUAGCGAAACUGCCGGUGACAAACCGGAGGAAGGUGGGGAUGACGUCAAAUCAUCAUGCCCCUUAUGACCUGGGCUACACACGUGCUACAAUGGACAGUACAAUGAGCAGCGACACGGCGACGUGAAGCGAAUCUCAUAAAGCUGUUCUCAGUUCGGAUUGUAGGCUGCAACUCGCCUACAUGAAGCCGGAAUCGCUAGUAAUCGCGGAUCAGCACGCCGCGGUGAAUACGUUCCCGGGCCUUGUACACACCGCCCGUCACACCACGAAAGUUUGUAACACCCAAAGUCGGUGAGGUAACCUUCGGGAGCCAGCCGCCUAAGGUGGGAUAGAUGACUGGGGUGAAGUCGUAACAAGGUAACCA
rnacentral:rRNA from 1 species